AGCAGCCGCGGUAAUUCCAGCUCCAAUAGCGUAUAUUAAAGUUGUUGCAGUUAAAAAGCUCGUAGUUGAAUUUCGGGGUCAGUAGGUUGGUCAUGCCACUGGUAUGUACUGGUCUCACUGAUUCCUCCUUCCUGAUGAACCGUAAUGCCAUUAAUUUGGUGUUGCGGGGAGACUGGACUGUUACUUUGAAAAAAUUAGAGUGUUUAAAGCAAGCUAACGCUUGAAUACAUUAGCAUGGAAUAAUGAAAUAGGACGUUCGAUCCUAUUUUGUUGGUUUCUAGGAUUGACGUAAUGAUUAAUAGGGAUAGUUGGGGGCAUUAGUAUUCAAUUGUCAGAGGUGAAAUUCUUGGAUUUAUUGAAGACUAACUACUGCGAAAGCAUUUGCCAAGGAUGUUUUCAUUAAUCAAGAACGAAAGUUAGGGGAUCGAAGACGAUCAGAUACCGUCGUAGUCUUAACCAUAAACUAUGCCGACUAGGGAUCGGAUGAUGUUAAUUUUAUAAUGACUCA
rnacentral:rRNA from 1 species